rnacentral:rRNA from 1 species
UAGUGGCGAACGGGUGAGUAACACGUGGGCAAUCUGCCCUUCACUCUGGGACAAGCCCUGGAAACGGGGUCUAAUACCGGAUAACACCUGCCCGGGCAUCUGGGUGGGUUAAAAGCUCCGGCGGUGAAGGAUGAGCCCGCGGCCUAUCAGCUUGUUGGUGAGGUAGUGGCUCACCAAGGCGACGACGGGUAGCCGGCCUGAGAGGGCGACCGGCCACACUGGGACUGAGACACGGCCCAGACUCCUACGGGAGGCAGCAGUGGGGAAUAUUGCACAAUGGGCGAAAGCCUGAUGCAGCGACGCCGCGUGAGGGAUGACGGCCUUCGGGUUGUAAACCUCUUUCAGCAGGGAAGAAGCGAAAGUGACGGUACCUGCAGAAGAAGCGCCGGCUAACUACGUGCCAGCAGCCCGCGGUAAUACGUAGGGCGCAAGCGUUGUCCGGAUUUAUUGGGCGUAAAGAGCUCGUAGGCGGCUUGUCACGUCGGG